UAUUCUUUAACUUCCUUCUGUUUGUACCUUUUAUUUACACCCCUUAUAUUCCAAAAUAACCACUUCAUUGGCCAUAGCUGGUUCCCCCUUCAUCUAGGGGUUGAUCUUCCCAACUCACUAUUCCAACUUCAAAUCUAUUAGACAUCACAAUAGGAGAUAAUGGUGGAAAGUUUGUGAUGUUAAAGACUGGAGACAUCUGUGUAGAAACACCCUUCUACUUAUUCAACUGCUCAUCUACACCAUCCUGAGAACUUGG
rnacentral:lncRNA from 1 species